UGAGGGAUAUUGCACAAUGGGGGAAACCCUGAUGCAGCAAUGCCGCGUGAGGGAAGACGGUCUUCGGAUUGUAAACCUAAGUUGUCAGGGACGAAAUAUGACGGUACCUGAAGAGAAAGCUCCGGCUAACUACGUGCCAGCAGCCGCGGUAAUACGUAGGGAGCAAGCGUUGUCCGGAUUUACUGGGUGUAAAGGGUGCGUAGGCGGGUUUGCAAGUCAGACGUGAAAUACCGGGGCUCAACUCCGGGGCUGCGUUUGAAACUGUAGAUCUUGAGUGAAGUAGAGGUAGGCGGAAUUCCUAGUGUAGCGGUGAAAUGCGUAGAUAUUAGGAGGAACACCAGUGGCGAAGGCGGCCUACUGGGCUUUAACUGACGCUGAGGCACGAAAGCGUGGGGAGCAAACAGG
rnacentral:rRNA from 2 species